GACGAACGCUGGCGGCGUGCCUAAUACAUGCAAGUAGAACGCUGAAGGAGGAGCUUGCUCUUCUGGAUGAGUUGCGAACGGGUGAGUAACGCGUAGGUAACCUGCCUGGUAGCGGGGGAUAACUAUUGGAAACGAUAGCUAAUACCGCAUAAGAGUAGAUGUUGCAUGACAUUUGCUUAAAAGGUGCAAUUGCAUCACUACCAGAUGGACCUGCGUUGUAUUAGCUAGUUGGUGGGGUAACGGCUCACCAAGGCGACGAUACAUAGCCGACCUGAGAGGGUGAUCGGCCACACUGGGACUGAGACACGGCCCAGACUCCUACGGGAGGCAGCAGUAGGGAAUCUUCGGCAAUGGACGGAAGUCUGACCGAGCAACGCCGCGUGAGUGAAGAAGGUUUUCGGAUCGUAAAGCUCUGUUAUAAGAGAAGAACGAGUGUGAGAGUGGAAAGUUCACACUGUGACGGUAUCUUACCAGAAAGGGACGGCUAACUACGUG
rnacentral:rRNA from 1 species